rnacentral:tRNA from 2 species
GGGGGUGAGUGUGUCCCGGUGGAUGCCCCGGUCUUCAAAACCGGUGGUCGGCUGUUCAGCAGGCGACGGUGGGUUCGACUCCCAUUCACUCCCG